rnacentral:rRNA from 1 species
UACAGAGGGUGCGAGCGUUGUUCGGAAUUAUUGGGCGUAAAGCGCAUGUAGGCGGCGCCUUAAGUCGCGUGUGAAAGCCCCAGGCUCAACCUGGGAAGUGCGCGCGAAACUGGGGUGCUUGAGUGCUGGAGAGGGUGGCGGAAUUCCCGGUGUAGAGGUGGAAAUUCGUAGAUAUCGGGAGGAACACCAGAGGCGAAGGCGGCCACCUGGACAG